GCCUCUGUGGCGCAAUUGGCUAGCGCGUUCGGCUGUUAACCGGAAGGCUGGUGGUUAGAUCCCACCCAGGGGCG
rnacentral:tRNA from 1 species